rnacentral:tRNA from 1 species
AAGGGAGGCCUAAUUCAGGUAUGGGACGAAAAAAAAGUAGUCGCUACCAAGAAUCAAUCCCAAAAGGUCGGAGCGAGGCAAAAUUGGCUUUCAAACUAGGUUCUGGGUUCACAUAAGACCUGAAUCAGGAACAAGGGCUAUUAGCUCAGGUGGUUAGAGCGCACCCCUGAUAAGGGUGAGGUCCCUGGUUCGAGUCCAGGAUGGCCCACCUGCACAGGUGGCAAAAACAAAGAAAAGAAGCUCCGAAUCAGCACCUUAUCUUACUCAUAUAGUAAGAGAGAAUGCUGGCUCUGAGUUCAGAGUCCAGAGGAACCUUGAAAACCGCAUAGAGCUAGGUGAAAAAGCCAAAAAAGAAGACCGCAAGGUCAAGCUAAUAAGGGCUAACGGUGGAUACCUAGGCAC